rnacentral:misc_RNA from 1 species
CGAUGCUAUUGCCCUUAAGAGCGGCUGGGAUGAAUAUGGCAUUUCCUAUGAUAGAGCUACCAGAGAUGUGCACAUAAGAAGGGUCCACCUUCAAUCAUCUUCAGGCUCUUCCAUUGCUUUUGGUAGUGAGAUGUCUGGUGGAAUUUCUAAUGUGCGCGUGGAGCAGGUCCGCCAAUACAACUCAUUUAGUGGGAUUGAGUUUAGAACAACCAAGGG